GCGAUCUCUUAAAAACAAACCCUUAUUCUUUAAAAAAAGAGGGCUUUCUAAGAAAACACCCUUUAAGAAAAAGUUUUUUAUAAAAUUAAAGAAAAACUUUCCUGUAAGAGUGUAUUUUUUACUAAAAGUUUGCUCUUUUAUUUGAGAGUUUGCUUUUUUAAGAGUUUUCCGGGGAAGGUUUUCCGGUUUAUCCCGGAGGGCUUGUAGCUCAGUUGGUUAGAGCGCGCG
rnacentral:misc_RNA from 1 species